CUUAUGCGUUGUUGGGUAGGGGAGCGUUCUGUAAGCCUGUGAAGGUGUGUCGUGAGGCAUGCUGGAGGUAUCAGAAGUGCGAAUGCUGACAUAAGUAACGAUAAAGCGGGUGAAAAGCCCGCUCGCCGGAAGACCAAGGGUUCCUGUCCAACGUUAAUCGGGGCAGGGUGAGUCGACCCCUAAGGCGAGGCCGAAAGGCGUAGUCGAUGGGAAACGGGUUAAUAUUCCCGUACUUGGUGUUACUGCGAAGGGGGGACGGAGAAGGCUAUGUUGGCCGGGCGACGGUUGUCCCGGUUUAAGCGUGUAGGUGUGUGUUCCAGGUAAAUCCGGUUCACUUUAACACUGAGGCGUGAUGACGAGGCACUACGGUGCUGAAGCAACAAAUGCCCUGCUUCCAGGAAAAGCCUCUAAGCAUCAGGUAACAUCAAAUCGUACCCCAAACCGACACAGGUGGUCAGGUAGAGAAUACCAAGGCGCUUGAGAGAACUCGGGUGAAGGAACUAGGCAAAAUGGUGCCGUAACUUCGGGAGAAGGCACGCUGACACGUAGGUGAAGUGAUUUACUCAUGGAGCUGAAGUCAGUCGAAGAUACCAGCUGGCUGCAACUGUUUAUUAAAAACACAGCACUGUGCAAACACGAAAGUGGACGUAUACGGUGUGACGCCUGCCCGGUGCCGGAAGGUUAAUUGAUGGGGUCAGCGCAAGCGAAGCUCCUGAUCGAAGCCCCGGUAAACGGCGGCCGUAACUAUAACGGUCCUAAGGUAGCGAAAUUCCUUGUCGGGUAAGUUCCGACCUGCACGAAUGGCGUAAUGAUGGCCAGGCUGUCUCCACCCGAGACUCAGUGAAAUUGAACUCGCUGUGAAGAUGCAGUGUACCCGCGGCAAGACGGAAAGACCCCGUGAACCUUUACUAUAGCUUGACACUGAACAUUGAGCCUUGAUGUGUAG
rnacentral:rRNA from 1 species